UGGAAUUUAGGGGAGGGUUCGAUUUGUUUUCUAACCGAAAAGUGUCGUCUGCUUUUCAAGUGUCGUUUUGCUUUUUUCAAAAAUGACACGAAGUUUUAGAUUCUAACUAACAAAAAGGAAUAUGAUAACGUUCGAAAUUCAGCUAAAGGUUAAAAAGCUGAAGUAAAAGAGCCAAAUCGAAGUUGAAAGAUGUCUCGGUUGCCCUCGUAAUUUUCAAGGAUGAAGAAGUUAUUAAAGAAGUUGAAAAAUGAAGACACACGUACGGACAUACAGUCAACACUAGUACAAUAUUGAACUUGCGGAAACAAAUCAAUGUUUCUUCAUAAUUUAAAAUAAAAAAAUUGGUCACAGGAAUUUAAAAAAUCCAUUUUAAUAUCAUUAAUGGAUUUUGAGCCUCUUUUGCAAUUUUACGGGAAACUGUUGUUGUUCAUGGUUAACAAAUUUUCGAAAUCUUCAAAGAAUAAUCGUUCUUUUACGGCUGUACUGGAAGCGUGAAUUCCA